rnacentral:lncRNA from 1 species
UCUUGGCAUUGGCGUAAGCUAAUUAUAUGGAAAGAACGUUUUCAACUAAAAAGAUUUGGGUUUUUUUAAAUGUGCUUAUUUUUUGCAAGGUAUAGAUAAUUUAUUGUACAAGUUUGUUCAAACUUCAAUUGAAAGAUGGAAACAGGAUACAUUUGAACGUGUAACAGAAUAUGUAUGUUGAUGUGUGUGACACAGAACAGUAUUGAGUUCUGUAUUUGUGAAAAAUAAAAUUGAACUCUAUAACCAACAUUCUGCAAUUGCAUGAAUGAGCAUCGAUAAUACCAAGAAGUAUGAAGCAAGCGAUGUGGCAAAAACAGAGCGUCUGUAAAUACUUUCACCGAAUCACUGUCUGGAACUCAAUCUUGAAAUAGAGACAUGAUGCAUUUGAACUUUCAAUGAUGAAAGCAUAUUCUUCUAGGAAAAUUACGUUUUGCACCAUUCUGCAACGUAGUGGAACACUGAUGAAAGCAAACAUUAUAAAUACUAAGAAUAAAAUACCAACACUUUGCUCCUGGCUUUUAACCUGGACGACAGAACAAUAGUAUUCUUCACUGGUAUGCACAGUGAGUGAAUAAAGAAAUGACGAAAAUUGAUUAAUGGCUAAUAUUCUAGUUAUAGAGAUUAACAUCUUCAGCUGACUAUCUCCAACGGAGUAUAUUUGUCUGGUGCAUUCCAGUCUCAUUCACUGACAACUCAGAUAAUCGUUAAUUCCAAUUCUGUGAAACAGACUUAGAGUAUUGCAAUGGCAAAGAGACGGGUAAUGUGGUAUUACAAAAAUCUUUGCGCUGUAGUCGAAGGAAAGGCUAAAUGUGAGUAACUGCUGUAUUCGUUGGAUAAAUAUAAAGCAUCUGCCACAAGGAUCAAGUGUUGGGUCCUUAUUUGCAUGCAAGUUCAACCGACCAAAGCAAAUCUCUACUUAAUGGAAAGAGUCAAAGGUUUAUAACGGUGAAAGAGUUUAAUGGUACUAACUAGAUAAUCUGUGCUUGUUUGAAAUUUUGAAAAUGAAACUUUUGUUCCCGUAGUCUCAAACGUUACCAUAUAUUAAGAGCUUGGAAAAAUCAUCCUAAUAACAAAACCGUCUAUGAAUCGUAGUUAACUUCUGUGGUUAUGAGAGCUUCUAAAAAUAUAUGGGAUGAUCGACCGAGAUGAAAACAAACAAUGACCAUGUGCACACGAGUGUGGUUCAAUGGUGGUGUUAUUUCUACACAUGAAAAGUAGAAAUUUGUCAACGGAAACCCGAUCUCUGACGAACUAAAAUUAAGAUUCUGCAAAAAAUCUACGAAGAUAAUUGUUAUAGUCCACAAGGUAGUUCAAGAAUGUUGCCAUGCAGAAUGUUGGUAAAGAUAGAUAACUAAGAACAUUAUGAACAGAAACUUGUUCUUCCUAGACAUAGGCUUAAAUUUAAGAAACAUUUCUUAGUGACAUAUCGUUUAACAUUCUACCAUUUUAUUUACCUUUUUUCUUAAAUAAUAAUACAAUAAAGUGUGAGAGAUGUUAGAAUUUUCAAUAGCUGCGCAAACUUUAAGAUAUUUGUAAAACAAAAUGUUGGUAGCAUUUGUCUUAAAUAAUCGUUGCCAUCUUCAAAGAUGUGUCAACAACGUUUAACCAAAGUAUUUCAAAAGUAAAAUCUUGUGUCUGUUCAACUUUCAUUCAUCUCGCACCUCUGAUAUUCUGACGCCUCUCCAAGUAGGCCUAUAUAUCCCUUUUCACAAGACGAAAUAGAAUCCGAAAGCCAUUAUGAAUAUUUUUAAAUAUCACAAGGUUUUUCCGAGGUGUUGUAACAAUCGAUAUGUUGAAUCCUCCUAGAAGUCCUUUCGGAUUUUGUUUCGUCUUCUAUUUUUGAAAUUCUUGACCGAUUCUUGAAGAUCGUGCAAACUCUAUUGUCUCUUUAAUAUUGUUAAUGUUAGAAGUUAAUCUAAAUAUUAUGAAUAUGGACUAAAAAUAAAAACGUGUACACAUAUAUAGUUCAAAUUGUUAAAAUAUAUUCUGUUAAAAAGUCAAAAGAGUCUGGUUUUGAUAAUUUUCAGAAAGAUAUAGGGGAUUGUUACAUCCAUGCACUGGGC